CGUGAGAUGUUGGGUUAAGUCCCGCAACGAGCGCAACCCUCGCCAUUAGUUGCCAUCAUUCAGUUGGGCACUCUAAUGGGACUGCCGGUGAUAAGCCGGAGGAAGGUGGGGAUGACGUCAAGUCCUCAUGGCCCUUACGGGUAGGGCUACACACGUGCUACAAUGGCGGUGACAGAGGGCAGCUACUUCGCAAGGAGAAGCUAAUCCCAAAAAGCCGUCUCAGUUCGGAUUGCACUCUGCAACUCGGGUGCA
rnacentral:rRNA from 1 species